rnacentral:lncRNA from 1 species
GCGGCGGCACGUAGGACGGAUCUCUUGGAUUUACCUGUAACGAGGAGCGGCGCACCCCAGGAGCCCCGGCAGCACCCCAGGAGCCCCGGCAGCACCCCAGGAGCCCCGGCAGCACCCCAGGAGCCCCGGCAGCACCCCAGGAGCCCCGGCAGCACCCCAGGAGCCCCGGCAGCACCCCGGGAGCCCCGGCAGCACCCCGGGAGCCCCGGCAGCACCCGGGAGCCCCGGCAGCACCCCGGGAGCCCCGGCAGCACCCCAGGAGCCCCGGUACGCAACCCUCCCCCGGGAACCCCGGCAGCACCCCGGGAACCCCGGCAGCACCCCGGGAACCCCGGCAGCACCCCGGGAACCCCGGCAGCACCCCAGGAGCCCCGGCAGCACCCCAGGAGCCCCGGCAGCACCCCAGGAGCCCCGGUACGCAACCCUCCCCCGGGAACCCCGGCAGCACCCCGGGAGCCCCGGCAGCACCCCGGGAGCCCCGGCAGCACCCCGGGAGCCCCGGCAGCACCCCGGGAGCCCCGGCAGCACCCCGGGAGCCCCGGCAGCACCCCGGGAGCCCCGGCAACGGAGGGGGAUCCCGGCGCGCCACCCUCCCCCCGGAGGGGGAUCCCGGCGCGCCACCCUCCCCCCGGAGGGGGAUCCCGGCGCGCCACCCUCCCCCCGGAGGGGGAUCCCGGCGCGCCACCCUCCCCCCGGAGGGGGAUCCCGGCGCGCCACCCUCCCCCCGGAGGGGGAUCCCGGCGCGCCACCCUCCCCCCGGAGGGGGAUCCCGGCGCGCCACCCUCCCCCCGGAGGGGGAUCCCGGCGCGCCACCCUCCCCCCGGAGGGGGAUCCCGGCGCGCCACCCUCCCCGGCAACAACCUGUUGCCAUGUAUUGCGAUUUGUAUCAGUCACAAGCACACAACCCCUUCUAGUAUUAAUGAUGUUUAAAACGUUCUACACGUACGGCGGACCGCAUCCGUCGCAAGCACGCGCAUAUAACCCCCAAAUGCACCAUGAUGAGAAGCACAGCCACGCGUCAAAAAACUUUAAAAACAUCGUUAUCCAAUAUUAAAAACCACACCGAAAUUUACACAGGUGGCACGUUACCGUGUUAGUGUCACCCACUGUACACAAGGCGUGUCGUAUAUGUAGUAUAGGUAUUUGAUGAGGCGGAAGCAUAUCCCGCUUCCAGCGAACGGAAAUAAGGACCAUCCGUUCCAGCAUUUAUUCAAAGGGGGCACAGAGGGUUCACAUUGUUUAGAGAGAGUUUUUCUUAGUAACCAUUCCAUACUUUGGCAGUAUUGGCCUACGAUUUGGGCGACGUUUCAGGCUGGUCUAUUCUCCGUCCACUUUUCCCCGGCUAUUCUAUCCCAGCAUAGGCUCUUGAAAUAAACAAUGUUUACCGAGUAAAA